rnacentral:rRNA from 1 species
GACGUAGGGCGCGAGCGUUGUCCGGAUUUAUUGGGCGUAAAGAGCUCGUAGGCGGCUAUGCAAGUCGGAUGUGAAAGCCCUCGGCUCAACCGGGGAAGUGCACCCGAAACUGCAAAGCUAGAGUCUCGGAGAGGAUCGUGGAAUUCUCGGUGUAGAGGUGAAAUUCGUAGAUAUUCGGAAGAACACCAGUGGCGAAGGCGGCUUACUGGCCCAUUACUGACGACUGAGGCCUGGAAAGCCGUGGGGAGCAAACAGGGAUUAGAAAACCCCGGGGUAGUCCCAG